ensembl:lncRNA
CUAAAUUAACUACUGUAGCUUUAAUACAAGCAGGCAAAAAAUAUAAAGUGGCUGUUAAACAUAGAAACACAUACAUCCCUCACUGUGUUAGAUACCGGACGAAAUGAUUGAUCUUAUAAGGCAGCAUAAUUUUGCUGCCAACUAUUUGGAACGGCCUCGCGUCUGGAGCUCGCCUGUGGUGCUUAAAAAUGCUGUGUAGGAAGGCAGCUCGCUGGGUUUGGAAUGGAGCCAUUCUCUCCUGUCAGAUGUCUUUGAGGGAGCAAAUAGGAGACCAAAGUGACGUUUUGUUGCACUAAAUGAAAUGAGAAUGGCAGUGGAAUAUACGGCCGGCAGCUCUUGAGUGCCACUGACAUUUCCAGCGGAUGACGACACAGAUGGUACCGAAGCCAGUGAUUAGUCUCUGCAUGUCUCUGCAUUUACGGCCAUUUCAACGGAGCGGCACUGGUCUCCACGGUCGUCUGUCUCAGCCUGUGCUGCUGAUUCAAGCAGCUUGUGCUCCACCACAGACUGUGUUUCCCAUGGUGUGUCUGAAUCUCUGCUGUUCUUCCUGUGGUGGACAUGCAGCUGCUGUGGAGUUGUUCUCAAACUGAUGGUGAAUUAGGAGAUUUUUCUCUCGGAGCUCCAGAUACUUACACGUUACUAACAAAACAUAUGAAUUGUAUAUGUAUAUGGUUAUCAUGCACUACAAUGCCAUAGUUUUACCAUUAUUGUCACUUUUAUUGAAAGGUAGAGCAGAGAAUAGACAGGAAAUUGUAUGGAAACAGUCACACAAGCUAGAGUCGAAUAUGUGUCGCCAGCUAGAGCAGAAUUGCAUCACUUUUGAACUGACCUAAAGGUAUGUUUUUAUAAGCCAGGAAUUUUUUGAACCAAUCAUGCACUAUGGUUAACAUUACCUAAAUUAACUCCUUGCAUAUUAUAAAUAUAGCUGUUCAUAACAAAUGGUUUAUACAGUACUAUUGUAACUCAAGUGUUACUUUAUUAUCUGAAAGCAAUGUUCUGCUGUGUCAAAUCUAGUCCUCAGAUUUGUAACUGAUCUGAAUCUGAUUUGAUCUGAAAUUGAUGAUUCCCAGUGUCAGUACCGUUCCAUAAACUUCAGUAAGCUGCAUGAGAGCUCACCGCUAAGCUACGUCUGCAACAAAUUCUGCCUUUAGCACAGGAGUCAAUAUCAUGGUCUGAUGUAGGUAGAGUUCGGAAAGGAGGCAUAGUUCAGCUAGAAAUCAUCCUCCUACGCUGCCUAUUCUAAAAUAUAUAAAAGUCUAUUUCUGAUUUACUCUGAGUACAAUAAUCCCGCUCAUGUGGAGCAGAGGCUUUUCCAGUGAGGAGUCAAUUGAGGGAAGAGGGCUUGUAUUGCUCUCCGUCUGAGAGGUAAUUAAUUUCAAUUCCAUUCAUUUGUCUCUUUGCCUGACAUUUUAAGCACUGACACUGAUGUGGAGUUUAUAUGGAUUAAUAAUACCCGGCUCAUUCCCGUUGUGGCAUUAACCUGCUUUUGUGUAUUAUCAGAGAAAAACAGACCUGAACACAAGCGCGACUGACCCACAUCAUUACCCUGAACAUGAAAAAAUGUUUACAGGUAAUCUCAAGUUAAUGUGACAUCUGAUAUUCAUUUACACGAGCCCGGCCUGUUUACUGUCCUUCACGAGCAACCACAAAACAAAAGACCUUUGUAAUAUUUAAUAAAGAUGCUUUUGUUAUCAGUAUGCACACCAUUUUACUGUCUAAAUGAGAAAACUGAGCAAAUACAAAGACUGAAAGCUCUUUCUAGGGAAAACAUGCAUGGCAGUUGAAAUUUAAAGGGAAAGCUCAACCAAAAAUGCUAAUUCUGGCAUCAUGUAUGCAACCUCAUGUUUAAAAACUUUGACUCCUAAUCCUAAGGUUGUGGGUUCGAGUCUCGGGCCUGCAAUACCACGACUGAGGUGCCCUUGAGCAAGGCACCGAACCCCUAACUGCUCCCCGGGCGCCGCAGCAUAAAUGGCUGCCCACUGCUCCGCGUGUGUGUUCACGGUGUGUGUGUUCACUGCUGUGUGUGUGCACUUUGGAUGGGUUAAAUGCAGAGCACGAAUUCUGAGUAUGGGUCACCAUACUAAGCUGUAUGUCACAUCACUUAAAAAGGACUCGAAAGCAUCAUUAACAUUGUCCAUAUGACUUAUGAAAUCUGCAGUCAGAUAGUUUAAUUGGACUGAUGAAUUGACACAAAUCUGAUUCAUUUGGUUCUCAAAUUCACUGACGUGAAUGUGAACCACUGUGUGGAUUAUUGAGUCACCAAAUCGGUCUGAUUAAUUUUAUGAACCAUUCAAGCUGGUUUUGUGAAUCAAAUCAAAAGAUUUAUUGAAAUGUAAAUGAUUUAAUUUGGAAUUGAAUGUUGUCAUUUCUCUUGUUAAAGUGCGAGACUAGAUCUUUCAGUGAAUAAUAACUUAAUAAUAAACUCUACUAUAACUUAAGAAGAUUUGAAAUAUAGAAGUUAUAUGGGCAACUUUUAUGAAACUUCAUAAAUAUCUCUUUUAUUCAGAUUAGAAACAACAUGAGGGGUGAAUAAAUACUGCCAGAAUGUUCAUUUUUGUUUGAACUGUUUCUUUCAUUUUUAAAAGGCCACACCGGGACUCUCAGCUCUGACCUGGGGAGGGUUAAUCAUUAUUCUCUUUUUUUUUAACAGAACUUGUUUAUUUAUUCUGAAAUAGCCUUGUUGGGUUUUUCCAAGGUCUGUGUGGAUGAAUAAGGCUCUCGAUGGGAGAGCAUGAGUGGGCCAAACCCCUCUGGGUGUUGAGAGGCUCCUCAAACAGAGACCAACAAAAGCUUAAUCAAGCAUCAUUCUCCAACCCAAAUAUCACAGCACUCUUUCCAACACAUGCGUCUGCACGAACACUCGGGGUUAUAAUAAAAAAUAAAAUAAAAAACUGUAUUAU